rnacentral:rRNA from 1 species
GGACUACCGGGGUAUCUAAUCCCGUUCGCUCCCCUGGCUUUCGCGUCUCAGCGUCAGGAAGGGUCCAGGACCGCGCUUUCGCCACGGGCGUUCCUUCCGAUCUCAACGCAUUUCACCGCUCCACCGGAAGUUCCCGAUCCCCCUACCCCCCUCCAGCCCGGUCGUAUCCGCGCCAGUUCCCCGGUUGAGCCGGGGGAUUUUAGCGACGGACGUGCCGGACCGCCUGCACGCGCUUUAAGCCCAGUGAUUCCGAAUAACGUUCGCACGGUUCGUCUUACCGCGGCUGCUGGCAC